rnacentral:rRNA from 1 species
GAUAUCCCAUACGUAAGUACUGAAGACCCCUUGAAGACUACAAGGUUGAUAGGCUGGGUGUGUAAGCAUGGCAACAUGUUGAGCUUACCAGUACUAAUAGGUCGUGAGGCUUAGCCAC